CUCUACGGUGGAACGGGAGGGGGACGCCUUCGUGCGUGCUGAUUCUUAGCUAUCAGUCUGCUAACCCGCUCUCGUUCUGCCACCAUC
rnacentral:antisense_RNA from 1 species